AACAUUAACUCCAAUUAACUCCUGUUUGACCUCAGGGCAUCUGAGGGCGCCAACCCACUAAUGAAGUCUCCUCACACCGGCCAGACUAAACACACAUUAACACUGCGUACCGCAUGACUUUAACUCAUAACUUCUGUCUGAAAGGUCUGUGGAACUCGGACAUUGUAAUAACACCUACGUUUGAAAUGUGUUGAAUAAUAAAACAAUGUGUGUAGUGAGGCUAAAACAAGCAUGCACUAACAUUCCUGCGCUUAUUGAUGUGUUGAAACAAUGUGAGCAACGCCGUUUAUGCUGUCUUGUCCGGCUUUGUGCUAUUAACUUAUGCCAUCUUGUAUUGAUGCUCAGUGAUGAACUCUGUUUAUGAUGUGUUACCAAGAUAAAGGUUGUGCCUAUUACCAACCCUUAUCAUCGGCCAAGCAGUGACAUGUAUUUUCUCUCUAGGCCAGCGAGCAAGGGGAGGAAGAGGAGGAGGAGGAGUACUAUAAUGGUGAAGAGUACGCGUAUGAGUACGAGGUAGAACCUAUCACAGAUGGCUUCCCCCUCUCUGAGGAAGAAAAGAUUGAGUGGACAACAGCAGAGCCUCUAUUUCAAAUGACGGGUUUUAAAGAAGAGGAGGAGGAUGUACCAACAAUCAAUCCUCUCAACACAACAGAAGUAGCAGAACAGAAAAAGCCACAAGCAGCCCCAGAUCCCCGGACCGCCUCGAGGAGGAGAAGUCUGAAGCGCAGGAAGCGACAGGCAGGAGACCGGGGGACGGACAGAGCGGCCACAGAGAGUCCCCUGGACGAGACGGAGCGCAGGAAGCGACAGGCAGGAGACCGGGGGACGGACAGAGCGGCCACAGAGAGUCCCCUGGACGAGACGGAGUGGGACGUAGAAGAAGAAGAAGAGAUUGAGGCGGCGCCGGUGGAUACGGGCGUCCCCGACCCGGACUACGACCCCGCCGGGGGGAGCGGGGACUACGGGUGGAGCCCGGGGGGGGAGGAGGAGGAGGGCGUGGACGGAGAGAGGGAGGACGAUGAGCUGGAGGCAGACAGAGAGCGGGAGAGGCUGGAGAUGGAGAGGGAGCGGCUGGAGCUGGAGAAGGAGAGGGCGAGGGAGGCCGAGGUGGGAGAGCGGGAGAGGGGGGAGACGGAGGAGGAGGUGGGGGAGAGGGACCUGGAGAGGGAGAGGGGGGAGUGGGAGAGACAGAGGGCGGAGAUGGAGAGGGAGAGGGCAGGGCUGUACGACGAGGAGACGGGCGCGCCCCAGCCCGUUCCUCCGCACUAUUUCUUUUUGAAGGUGAGUGAAUGGUGGCGCGGCGCCCACAUGUUACGCAAUUCCAUGUAAUUGCGAACUGAUUGGCAAUUAGGGGACUGCGGUGGUCGUCCACUGGGGAUUACUGUGUCAUCACAGCUUCAAAGCUCCUCUUCAAUUGACUCUCUCUCCCUUCGCCCACAUCAGGGAGCCCCCGGUGAGGACGGGAAGCUCGGAACAAAGGUGAUGAUGAAAUUUAAAAAAUGAACAAUUUCGUGAAAUGAAAUAAAGCACCAGCACAAAGC
rnacentral:lncRNA from 1 species